AUCCAUGCGGGCAAUAACCCGUGCGGGCAUCCCCAGCCGAGCAGGAACAAGACAUCCAACAAAAAUAGCUGAAACAAGUUCUCCGGUGAGAGCUGUUGACCUCCUCACGUCCCGGUCGUCACCGCCGGCGGCCACGGAGUAUUACAUCCCGCCUCUGCGUGCAUCUCCCUCUUCAACGCCGUGACUCCGGACCGGAGCCUGCUAAUCGACGGCCAUCGUUGGCUCAGCGCUAACGGCUGCAUUCGUACCAGAAUCUGCAUCUCCCUCCUUCAAGCUGGAGCCCAGGGUGCGGUUGGUUCCUCGUCUUCCUUCUUGUCCCUGGUUGCUCUUGAGCAGUUUUUGGAUUAAGCCUGGAAGAAACUGAAGAAAAUACCUCGCAAUGCUGUAUUAGUAGGAACAGCUUCAGCAACAUUGACACAAUCAAAAAGUGAAAAUGGUAGAAGCUUUGGUCAUAGUGAUUCUCCAAAAGAUUGCCUCUGCACUUGGAGAAGAGGGAUUUAAAGUUCUUGCUUCUAAGUUACAGAAGCAGCUACCUGACAUGCUAGAGGUUACCAAUAGAAUGAGGCUACUCCAAAGUGAUUUGUCGAUGAUGCAAGCAUUCAUCAGUCAAGUAGACAUUCAUAUGUCUAAUGAUAAGGUACUGGAGGCCUGGCUGGAACAGGUGCGACAAGCAGCCCAUGAAGCUGAGGACAUUGUUGAUGAGUACAUUUAUCUUGUUGGCCAAAUGGAAGGAACAAACAGUUUCAUAAAGAGAGCUUUGAACCAAACAACGGUGGCUAAUAAAUGGCGCAAGCUUGCAACACAGGCUAAGUUCGUGGAGGAUUGUCUUAAGAAGAUUACAGAGACAAAAAAUAGAUUUGAUGUUUCAGCAGCAGGCAGUAGGAAAGAUAAUGCAUUGAGUAAUUCUAGUAGACUCCAACAUGUAUCUGAACAUUCAUAUCUGAAGGAUGAUGAUGAUUUUGUGGGGAAUGCAGAAGAGAUGAAGCACUUAACAGAAUGGUUAUCUGAUGUGAGGAAAGAUCGAACUAUAAUCUCCAUUUGUGGAAUGGGAGGAUUGGGUAAGACAACCAUUGCUAGCAGCAUCUACAAGAAAGAAGAAAUUAAAAGAAUGUUUAUCUGCCGUGCAUGGAUCUCAGUCUCUCAAAGUUACAGGGUCAAAGAUCUCCUCAAAAGGAUCCUACUGCAGCUCAUGGCAAAAAAUGAGAAUGUUCCCGAUGGGCUUGACACCAUGGACUGUGUGAAUCUAGUUGAAUUUCUUCAGAAAUAUCUACAGGACAGGAGGUACUUAAUUGUGUUGGAUGAUGUAUGGAGUAGGGACUCUUGGCCUUUACUAGAUAAUGCAUUUGUCAAGAACAACAAUGGGAGCCGAAUAGUCAUCACAACUCGAAUCCAAGCUGUGGCAUCCCUAGCUGAUCCAAACUGUGAAAUGAAACUCAGUUUACUACCGAAGGAGGAGGCGUGGACUCUUUUCUGUCAAAAGGCCUUCUCGAGAUUAGAUGACAGAAGUUGCCCUCUCAAUCUUAAGACCUGUGCUGAAAGAAUUGUGGACAAGUGCCAAGGUUUGCCACUGGCUCUUGUUGCUUUAGGGAGCCUUUUAUCCUACAAAGAAAUGGAUGAACAGGAGUGGGAGUUGUUCUAUAGCCAACUUAGGUGGCAGCUGAGUAACAACCCAGAGCUGAGUUGGGUUGCUAGCGUUCUGAACCUCAGUUACAACGAUCUCCCUAGUUACUUGAAGAAUUGCUUUCUUUACUGUGGCCUGUUUCCUGAAGAUAAUCAAAUCGAAAGGAAACGGCUAAUCAGACUCUGGAUAGCUGAAGGAUUUAUUGAGGAUAGAGGACCCGAGACAGCACUGGUAGAUGUAGCUGCAUGUUACCUGAAGGAGCUUGCUGACCGUUCAUUGCUUCAAGUCGUCGUCAGGAAUGAAUAUGGAAGACCAAAGAGGUUCCAGAUGCAUGACCUUGUGAGGGAGUUAUCUCUAACGAUAUCCAAGAAGGAAAAGUUUGCUACUACAUGGGACUAUCCUAACUCAGGCUGCAUUUUCAAUGGAUCUCGUCGAGUUGCCAUACAGAAGGAUGGUAAUUUAAUGCAAACAGCAAAAAUUUCGGCACAGCUUAGGUCUGUCGUCGUGUUUGUGGAGGAGAUGCCAUCAUCUUGGUUCAAGGACUGUUACCCAAGCUUUAGAUUGUUAAGGGUCUUGUGCCUGAGACACUGCCAUAUCCAAAAAGUACCAGAUCACGUGUCUAAUUUGUUUAACUUGCAUUACCUUGACUUGGGAUAUACCAAACUGAAGGAGAUACCAAGAUCUAUUGGGAAGCUUUGCAAUCUGCAAACGCUGUAUCUCAAGGGUUCUGUACUGGAGUUGCCGAGUGAUAUGACUAUGCUAACAAAGCUUCAGCACCUACUUAUUGAUGUUGGUAGGUUUGGAAGUUCAGCAAGUAACAAGAUAUAUCGCUUGGAACAUCUGCAGACUCUGAAGAACAUAGAAGCCAACAGCUAUGUGGUUAAAAAACUUGGAUGCCUGACAAGGUUGAGAAGCCUUGGCAUCAGGAAGGUGCUAGAAUACUACAACACUGAUUUGUGGGCCUCAAUCAGCAAGAUGACAGCUUUGACUUCAUUGUCUGUGAUUGCAGCGGACCGCAACAGUGAUGUUAUUGAUCUGGCCAACUUGAAGCCAUUACCGCACCUAGAGAAGCUUAUGUUAAGUGGCAGGUUAGAAAAAGGAGCUAUUCCUCCUGCGUUUAGUCACUUCCCCAAACUGAAAAGCUUGAGGCUUUGCUUUUCUGGGCUUCAUGAAGACCCACUUGCUUUGUUCUCUAUCAUGUUUCAGAACCUAGGCCACCUUAAUCUUUACCGGUGCUACGACGGUACGAGACUGACAUUCUGUUCCGGGUGGUUCCCUACUCUCAAACACCUCUACUUGAGCUCCAUGAGUGAGCUGAAGGAGGUUGAGAUUGAGGAUGGCACCAUGAUAGGCUUGCACAGGCUGGAGCUCUGGGGCUUGAAAAGCUUGACAUCAGUGCCAGAAGGCCUUGUGCACCUUAGGUCACUCAAACAGCUGUGCAUUGGGUCGAUGAUGCCUGAAGAGUUCAAAAGAAUGUUAGAAGGACGUGACCGAUGGAUUGUUGAGCACAUCCCCUACAUUGGAGACCCGUGAUCAAGAAGCCACUCUCACGAGUAAGCAUUAUGUCUUGGUAGUAGACUUGAAGUUGUCCUGGCCAAUGGAACUGUCCUUGAUAUGCUUACUACUUUACGGAAAGACAAUACUGGAUACGGUAUGAAGCACGUAUUUAUUGAAAUUGCUACUGGCAGCUAGGAGGAACUUGAGUGAGAUCCUAUCUGCAUUUGAGUUCAUGGAUCAUCACUGUAUUGAUCUGAGCAAAGCUGGAAGCCUUUUUGUUGCGUUCAAUGGAAGAUGGUCUGGUAGCUGAUGGAGUUAUAGCACAGGAUAUCACCCAAGCAUCAAAUUUUUGGCGAAUCCGUGAGGGUAUAUCAGAAGCAUCUGUCA